AGUAGAGGAAGGCAGUCUAAGUACGCGACAUCCUUGUCGCAACGACUGCAAGACCUACAUCCUGUAGG
rnacentral:sRNA from 1 species